CAAGAUAUGCUAGAAGCCGCAUCAAAAUAUUCUACAUAAUUCUAAAAAAAUCUCUUCAAGCAUGUAUGUAUAUGGGUUUGAAGGUCAAGAAUCCAUGUAUUACCUUAUAAGCCGGUUGGACAAAAGUACAAAGUCAUGUUUUGUGGGUAAUUAGGGUGGCUAAAAAAGGUUCUAUCUAAGCUUUGCUUUUUUAGUACAAAGUACAGCAUAUUAAUGUGCGAUGUGAAUUAUUCUUGUGUCAAGAUGGUUGGUGCAGGGACGGGGACUAUCAUUUUUGUGUCUUAUCUUCGAAUGACCUACCGAAUGCUACAAGCCGAAUAUAUCUAGAAACUCAAACAUACAGUGGUGGAAAAAUAAUAGCGACAACAGUUAAUAAAAAUAAUAUUGAACGAAAAGAGUUCUGGGGUUGGUGAUUUUUUCAAUGAAUUCCUUUGGAAAAAAUAAAAGGGGCACUUCAAAACGUUGGAUUUAAUUACGAAGUGUCUUUUUAAACUUAGAACUAACUUCCUUCAGUAGGACAUUCUCUCAUUAAGGCUGGUCCUACAUUCGCGAUAUUUUUCGCCGAUUACUUUUUCUAGAUAAUAGAUUUUGAAGCAAAAAAACUUGUUUAUUUCAUUCAGUAGGACGGACAUUCCCUCAAUACUUAUGGUUAAAUUUUAAUAAAGUUGUUAUUUUCUCACUGUUA
rnacentral:sRNA from 1 species